UCUCCGUAGGUGAACCUGCGGAGGGAUCAUUACAGAGUUCAUGCCCUUACGGGUAGAUCUCCACCCUAUGUUAUCGUUACCUUUGUUGCUUUGGCGGGCCGUCAGGCCUCGGUCAGACUGCCGGCUCCGGCUGGUAAGUGCCCGCCAGAGGAUAUCAAACCUUGAAUUUAAUGUCGUCUGAGUACUAUAUAAUAGUUAAAACUUUCAACAACGGAUCUCUUGGUUCUG
rnacentral:misc_RNA from 1 species